UGGGGAAUUUUGGACAAUGGGCGAAAGCCUGAUGCAGCGACGCCGCGUGAGGGAUGACGGCCUUCGGGUUGUAAACCUCUUUCAAUAGGGACGAAGCGCAAGUGACGGUACCUAUAGAAGAAGGACCGGCCAACUACGUGCCAGCAGCCGCGGUAAUACGUAGGGUCCGAGCGUUGUCCGGAAUUACUGGGCGUAAAGAGCUCGUAGGUGGUUUGUCGCGUUGUUCGUGAAAACUCACAGCUUAACUGUGGGCGUGCGGGCGAUACGGGCAGACUAGAGUACUGCAGGGGAGACUGGAAUUCCUGGUGUAGCGGUGGAAUGCGCAGAUAUCAGGAGGAACACCGGUGGCGAAGGCGGGUCUCUGGGCAGUAACUGACGCUGAGGAGCGAAAGCGUGGGGAGCGAACAGGAUUAGAUACCCUGGUAGUCCACGCCGUAAACGGUGGGUACUAGGUGUGGGUUUCCUUCCUUGGGAUCCGUGCCGUAGCUAACGCAUUAAGUACCCCGCCUGGGGAGUACGGCCGCAAGGCUAAAACUCAAAGGAAUUGACGGGGGUCAUAGCUGUUUUCCU
rnacentral:rRNA from 1 species